UAGUCAACUUCUUGCCUCGGCCUUCUCCUGAGUGGGGGAAUCUAUCCUAGUUCUCUCACUCACUUCGGAGCCGCUGUAAAAGAAAGAAAACUUUUUUCCCUGACAAUGACUAAAAGAGGGAACAGGGAACGGCAGUCCCCUUUCUGGGUUGGGGAUGGCGCACCAGGAGAUUCCGUUCGAGGGGAAAGGAAAGAUGAUGCCAAACAAAGGAGGUGGGGUGGGGAUGGUGGAAACCGAAAAAAAACAAAAAACAAAAAACAACCAAACCCCAAGACAGGGGUAGAAGCCAAAUGGAGAGAGAAAUGCCCCAGAAAGCUGACGCUCCCCACUCUGGGGUCUGGCCACCUGGGGCCCUCGACUGCCCACGGCGGCGUGGGGUGGGCUCAGGCGGCAGAGCGGGGCGGGAGGGGCCAGAGCCGCAUGCGCCUGCCCCAGGGCGCCGGGCGGGCCAGGGCUCAGGGAGGACAGGCCGGACUGCCCUUGCCCAGGAGUGAGGCGAGCAGGCGGCUGCGGGCAAAGGGAAUGGUGGGGUCAGAGGCCAAGGUCUCCCAGGCCGAGGGCACGAACCCGGCCACGAGGCGCGCCCGGGCUCGUGACCCCUCCUUCCCGGCCCGACGGCGCCCCGAGGAGCCCCAGUCUUCGAGCCCGGGGUUCAACCCGCCCGCCCAACCGCGCGUGGCCUGAAGAUCCGAGCCGGAGGCAGCCUCGAAGUUUCUACAGUCCUCAGGCUCCCAACCCGGAUCAGAACAUGAACAAAGAUCCAAGACAGCAGUGAAAAGCAGACUCCUGGCUCUUCUGGAAGGCAACAACAGGCCCGAGAGCUUCAGAGCAGCCCUGUGUGGGAAGGAUGAUGAAACUCUGCUCCCUGAUAAAGGAACUAUCUUGGUUGUGGAUCAUCAUUUGAAUAAAAAUCAAAUGACUUAGGGUCUGUCCAAAAUGAAGGAUGUUUUAAUACUUUGUGUGUAAAAGCACUGAUAUUCUGCUUCUUUUUUAUUAAACAGAUUUUAUUAUUUUUCAGAA
rnacentral:lncRNA from 1 species